GUUAGCAAGUAUUAGACGUUUACGUUCGAGAUCCAUGCCUGUAGCUUGAGAGUCUGAGGAUUUGGAUGCAUAAUUGGUCAUUGGCAGUGAAGUCCUCUUCUUGCUAGUAGAAUCUGCGGACUCUUUGAGAUCAUUCUCUGGAGCUGUGGGUACCAAGGUAUCCUGGACCAAAUUUGAGCUAUCGGUAUCACCCAUCCCUCUUCUUU